CUUUUCUAUUUUCUUUCUAUCGGAUUCAACGUAUAAGUUGAAUUCUAUAGAAAUGGAACGAACUGAUCAAUCUCAGUUAUGACUAGUGUGACAAAAGACAAAGUUUAACAAUAUUUAUUUAAUUA
rnacentral:sRNA from 1 species